UACGGGGGGGAGCAAGCGUUGUUCGGAUUUACUGGGCGUAAAGGGCGCGUAGGCGGUCAGCACAAGUCAGUUGUGAAAUCUCCGGGCUUAACUCGGAAAGGUCAACUGAUACUGUGCGACUAGAGUGCGGAAGGGGCAACUGGAAUUCUCGGUGUAGCGGUGAAAUGCGUAGGUAUCGAGAGGAACACCAAUAGCGAAGGCAGCUCGCUGGGACGGUACUGACGCUGAGGUGCGAAAGCGUGGGGAGCAAACAGG
rnacentral:rRNA from 1 species